UACGAAGGGGGCUAGCGUUGCUCGGAAUCACUGGGCGUAAAGCGCACGUAGGCGGAUUGCUAAGUCAGGGGUGAAAUCCUGGAGCUCAACUCCAGAACUGCCUUUGAUACUGGCGACCUUGAGUCCGGGAGAGGUGAGUGGAACUGCGAGUGUAGAGGUGAAAUUCGUAGAUAUUCGCAAGAACACCAGUGGCGAAGGCGGCUCACUGGCCCGGUACUGACGCUGAGGUGCGAAAGCGUGGGGAGCAACAGGG
rnacentral:rRNA from 1 species